rnacentral:rRNA from 1 species
UGUCCCAUAAAUCGGGACUAGUAUGAAUGGCUAAACGAGGUCUUAACUGUCUCUUACAGGCAAUCGGUGAAAUUGAUCUCCCUGUGCAAAAGCAGGGAUAACCCCAUAAGACGAGAAGACCCUGUGGAACUUCAAAAUCAGCAACCAACCCUAAAAACAUAUACACCCACCUCGGGCCCACUCACCUAACAGGGAUACUGGUCUGCAUUUUUCGGUUGGGGCGACCUUGGAGCAAAACAAAACCUCCAAAAAUUGGACCAUACAUCCAGACUGAGAGCAACCCCUCAACGUGCGAAUAGCACCCAGACCCAAUACAAUUGAUCAAUGGACCAAGCUACCCCAGGGAUAACAGCGCAAUCUCCCCCGAGAGUCCAUAUCGACGGGGAGGUUUACGACCUCGAUGUUGGAUCAGGACAUCCUAGUGGUGCAGCCGCUACUAAGGGUUCGUUUGUUCAACGAUUAACAGU